UUCGUUUCGACGCCGCUACGA
rnacentral:siRNA from 1 species